rnacentral:rRNA from 1 species
CUUGCUCCUUUGACGUUAGCGGCGGACGGGUGAGUAACACGUGGAUAACCUACCUAUAAGACUGGGAUAACUUCGGGAAACCGGAGCUAAUACCGGAUAACAUAUUGAACCGCAUGGUUCAAUAGUGAAAGGCGGCUUUGCUGUCACUUAUAGAUGGAUCCGCGCCGUAUUAGCUAGUUGGUAAGGUAACGGCUUACCAAGGCAACGAUACGUAGCCGACCUGAGAGGGUGAUCGGCCACACUGGAACUGAGACACGGUCCAGACUCCUACGGGAGGCAGCAGUAGGGAAUCUUCCGCAAUGGGCGAAAGCCUGACGGAGCAACGCCGCGUGAGUGAUGAAGGUCUUCGGAUCGUAAAACUCUGUUAUCAGGGAAGAACAAAUGUGUAAGUAACUGUGCACAUCUUGACGGUACCUGAUCAGAAAGCCACGGCUAACUACGUGCCAGCAGCCGCGGUAAUACGUAGGUGGCAAGCGUUAUCCGGAAUUAU